rnacentral:rRNA from 1 species
CCUACGGGAGGCAGCAGUGGGGAAUUUUGGACAAUGGGCGAAAGCCUGAUCCAGCCAUUCCGCGUGAGUGAAGAAGGCCUUCGGGUUGUAAAGCUCUUUCGCAAGGGAAGAAAACUUAGCUACUAAUAUUAGCUGAGGUUGACGGUACCUUGAUAAGAAGCACCGGCUAACUACGUGCCAGCAGCCGCGGUAAUACGUAGGGUGCGAGCGUUAAUCGGAAUUACUGGGCGUAAAGCGUGCGCAGGCGGUUUUGUAAGUCAGAUGUGAAAUCCCCGAGCUCAACUUGGGAACUGCGUUUGAAACUACAAGACUAGAAUAUGUCAGAGGGGGGUAGAAUUCCACGUGCAGCAGUGAAAUGCGUAGAGAUGUGGAGGAAUACCAAUGGCGAAGGCAGCCCCCUGGGAUAAUAUUGACGCUCAUGCACGAAAGCGUGGGGAGCAAACAGGAUUAGAUACCCUGGUAGUCCACGCCCUAAACGAUGUCUACUAGUUGUUGGUGGAGUAAAAUCCAUGAGUAACCGCAGCUAACGCGNGAGAGACGCCGCGGAGGUACGGUCGCGAGAGUUAAACGUAACGAAGAAGUUAGUACGGCGUGAGACGUAGACCGACGGACGACGACGAGGGAGGAGG